GCCAAAAGCAUCAGCUCUUAUUCAUAUGAUUUGAUUUUGAGAAAACAAUGCUAAUGCCAUCAGGAGGAAUAACAAGUGCAGUUCCUCAAGUGGCGAGGUACCACAAAAUUUUGAAAUUGCAAGAAAUACAAUUUCACACACUAAUAAUGGCACGAGAAACAAAACAUGGAAAAAAGUAUAGAUAGGAUAAACAAUAUGUCUCAAUUUUCAGGUUUUUUAAUGCACAGUUAAGAAUUCAAUUCGCACACAAAUUUUUAACAUUAUAAAUAGCCUCAAGUAAAAUAAGUAGAAGCGUUGACUCCACUAUUUUCCCACUCAAUACACAACUCAAAUAUUUGAAGUUCAUCAACAUCAGCCACUCCUCUGUUUUGACAUACCAACAUUCGUCACAGUAAAUGGUUCACCUUGAAUAGCCAGAAGGUGG
rnacentral:misc_RNA from 1 species